rnacentral:rRNA from 1 species
CCUGAUGAUCAUAGCGGACUGGAACCACCUGAUCCCAUUCCGAACUCAGAAGUGAAACAGUCCAGCGCCGAUGGUAGUGUGGAUUACCCAUGCAAGAGUAGGUCGUCGUCAGGC